CCCAACUCUGGGCAGGUGCCGACAUGUUCGCUUGCAGUCUUGUUGCGCUCUAGUUGAGUCAGAGCACUGUGGUAUGGCGACCCACAUCCAGACAUAAAAGAUUGCACUUCUGGAAUGAUGAUUCUUUCCUUAAUCCUUCAGCUACAAAUCUGAUGCCCUUGCAGCGUCAGGCUUGGGUGCCAAAGACUGAUAUGACUAAAAGCUCUUUGAAUACCACAGCACCCAUGGGAACAAAGCACUGUGUAAUGGAUGCGACAUCAGUUGGUGGCAAAGAGAGGGCAUCAGUGAUUUGCGGAAAUUGGCUAAUCGCAGCCUGGCUCAGUCCCUAUUCCCCGUGAAGAGCCAGUAGGUGGCAGCUCUUCUGUUUUCAGUCCGUGUGGGUCAGGCGUCUUCAAAGAGUUCCGUUAUAUUUCGAUUGCAUGGCCCGUUAAACUGGAAGUUGGCAGAAGUGGCGCAAGUGGAGGAAAAAACAAAAAAAGAAGAGCGCGCGGGGACCAAGUCAAACAACAAAGGAAUGCUCUCCAUCAAUCCGAGCUGCUUCUCUUGCACUCCCACUUGCCUGCCACGGAAUGUGUAAUUACUCCACAAUUAAAGUGCGCUCAAAUGCAUGUGGCUUGGGCACGAGAGGUGAAGGGCACAGCUGAUAGGAUAGCGUUAUGAACUUUCUGUUCUUUCCACUAAGGGGGAAAACAGCUGUUGAGAAAUUCCCCUUCAAGACCACAGGAAUGAAGACACCGCCACUACAGUAUACUGCAUGUAAUAGGCUAUCUGUGGAUAACAAAGUCUUACAUCACUUCGGCCAGUCGUCAAAGCCUGACCCUCUUGACUGUGAAGUGUGAAGCUGAUUGGCUUUAACUGAACUGUGGGUAUGCUGGCUUCGAUUUGACAUGGCAGCCCCAUGUGUCAAAAAGUAAAAAUGAUCGUGUUUAGAAUUGAGUUAUCAUUUUUGUGUGCGCACAACACAUUUAACGAAAUCAAUGGAAACAAGCUUCCAGUUCAAAUGUUGCAUCCAAUAAAAGUUGAAUUCGCAUCAAUGAAUUAUGUUUGUUGAAUAAAUGAUGAGACACUUUAAA